AUUGAACGCUGGCGGCAUGCCUUACACAUGCAAGUCGAACGGUAACGCGGGGCAACCUGGCGACGAGUGGCGAACGGGUGAGUAAUAUAUCGGAACGUGCCCAGUAGUGGGGAUAGCCCGGCGAAAGCCGGAUUAAUACCGCAUGAGACCUGAGGGUGAAAGCGGGGGAGUCGCAAGACCUCGCGCUAUUGGAGCGGCCGAUAUCAGAUUAGGUAGUUGGUGGGGUAAAGGCCUACCAAGCCGACGAUCUGUAGCUGGUCUGAGAGGACGACCAGCCACACUGGGACUGAGACACGGCCCAGACUCCUACGGGAGGCAGCAGUGGGGAAUUUUGGACAAUGGGCGCAAGCCUGAUCCAGCCAUGCCGCGUGCGGGAAGAAGGCCUCGGUUGUAA
rnacentral:rRNA from 1 species